GCAGUGAGCUCGUCGAGCCGAAAAAGUGAUUGGAAAUGGAUUAUCACUCCAUAAAUACUAAAAUUGAUUAUUCUAAUUAUUUAAUAUUAAAACUUACGCUAAAAGUGUUUUGCUACUUAUUCUAAAUUGAUUAUUAUAUGCUAAUUAAUACAACUUACAUGCAAAAGUUCUUAAACCUACAAUACGGAAAUAAUAUGGACAUUAAGAUAGAAGAAGACUAAACGGAUUUUAUAACCCCUCCUUCAUCAACACGAAAUAUACAUCGGGUUACGAAACCGGAAACGAUUCUUCUCUAUCCGUCCAGUUGCUACUGCAACACCGAUCACCCACGUUUUGUAGAUGAAAGUAAAAAAAAUGUUUCCAUCUGCUCCUCCCUUUCCCAGGUCUCGGAGAUUGCCCUGUGUAGCAAAGUGUAGUUAGUUUGUAUAUUUAUUACAUAAAAGCAAUUGUUUUAAUUACAAACCUAUAAUUAAGGAUAGCAAAUAAAUUUUCAAUUACCACAGGUAAGCUCCCACUAUUAUUUAAAUUGAAAAGUUAAAAAGAAAAACAAGAAGAUCACAAUAGAAGUGUAAUGCACGCUUUUUUAAAUGGCUACACCUUCGCUAAAGAUAGCAUUUGUAAUCAGCUGGUCGUUCUCGAAGUAGGGCACGGGAGGGUAUUUCCAGCCCAUUAAGCGAUGGCAUUUAUUUUUUCGGCCUAUGGCCUAGUU